UACGUAGGGUGCGAGCGUUGUCCGGAAUUAUUGGGCGUAAAGAGCUCGUAGGCGGUUUGUCGCGUCGGCCGUGAAAACUUGGGGCUUAACUCCAAGCUUGCGGUCGAUACGGGCAGACUUGAGUUCGGCAGGGGAGACUGGAAUUCCUGGUGUAGCGGUGAAAUGCGCAGAUAUCAGGAGGAACACCGAUGGCGAAGGCAGAUCUCUGGGCCGUAACUGACGCUGAGGAGCGAAAGCAUGGGGAGCGAACAGG
rnacentral:rRNA from 1 species